rnacentral:rRNA from 1 species
AUUGAACGCUGGCGGCAUGCUUUACACAUGCAAGUCGAACGGUAACAGGCCGCAAGGUGCUGACGAGUGGCGAACGGGUGAGUAAUGCAUCGGAACGUGCCCAGUCGUGGGGGAUAACGCAGCGAAAGCUGUGCUAAUACCGCAUACGAUCUAUGGAUGAAAGCGGGGGACCGUAAGGCCUCGCGCGAUUGGAGCGGCCGAUGUCAGAUUAGGUAGUUGGUGGGGUAAAGGCCUACCAAGCCGACGAUCUGUAGCUGGUCUGAGAGGACGACCAGCCACACUGGGACUGAGACACGGCCCAGACUCCUACGGGAGGCAGCAGUGGGGAAUUUUGGACAAUGGGCGCAAGCCUGAUCCAGCAAUGCCGCGUGCAGGAUGAAGGCCUUCGGGUUGUAAACUGCUUUUGUACGGAACGAAAAGCCCUGGGUUAAUACCCUGGGGUCAUGACGGUACCGUAAGAAUAAGCACCGGCUAACUACGUGCCAGCUGCCGCAGUAAAAC